UACGUAGGGUGCAAGCGUUUAAUCGGAAUUACUGGGCGUAAAGCGUGCGCAGGCGGUUUUGUAAGUCUGUCGUGAAAUCCCCGGGCUUAACCUGGGAAUGGCGAUGGAGACUGCAAUGCUAGAGUUUGGCAGAGGGGGGGUAGAAUUCCACGUGUAGCAGUGAAAUGCGUAGAGAUGUGGAGGAACACCGAUGGCGAAGGCAGCCCCCUGGGUCAAGACUGACGCUCAUGCACGAAAGCGUGGGGAGCAAACAGG
rnacentral:rRNA from 1 species